UGUAGGUUAAGUUAUUAAGGGCGCACGGCGAAUGCCUUGGCACUAGGAGCCGAAGAAGGACGGCACUAACACCGAUAUGCUUCGGGGAGCUGUAAGUGAGCUUUGAUCCGGAGAUUUCCGAAUGGGGGAACCCACUACGUUUAAUCGCGUAGUAUCUUGACGUGAAUACAUAGCGUCUUGAAGGCAGACCCAGGGAACUGAAACAUCUAAGUACCUGGAGGAAGAGAAAGAAAAAUCGAUUCCCUGAGUAGCGGCGAGCGAAACGGGAAGAGCCCAAACCAAGAGGCUUGCCUCUUGGGGUUGUAGGACACUCUAUA
rnacentral:rRNA from 1 species